AGAAGGAGCUUGCCUGAGGAAAAAUCAAGACCCAAGAGACACCGAAAAAAGGGAAAAAAAAAAAGGCGAUUCAGAGUCAGACCCUGAAUAUUGAAGAAGUUUCUUUUUCUUAUGGUUUCCUUUCCAUGAGUGCACAAAAGAGUGAGGACAUGUGGAUAAAACGCACACACAAACGACACAAGCAAGUGCUUCUCUAAAUCCACGAGAGACGGACACCCAAAGGGGCACAGGAGAUGAGGCAGCAGCAUGUUGGUGCACAAGAUGCGAUACACCAGUGAACAGCGCACAUGAGGAGACACAUUCGGCUUUGCCAGAAAUCAAAGGAAUGAAAAUCACAACAGGAUAUCAUUUGAGCCUGUCAAUCUAGCAAAGCAGAGUAUGUGAUCCUGCAUUUGGGUCCCGGAGGGUGGGGGGGGGACACUACUCUAGAGGACAUUACAGAGAUAAUUGGUAAAUUUUGAAUAUGACUUAGAAAAUAGUAAUGAUUUUUUAA
rnacentral:lncRNA from 12 species